UACAGAGGGUGCGAGCGUUGUCCGGAAUCACUGGGCGUAAAGGGCGCGUAGGCGGCCUGGUAAGUAGGGGGUGAAAUCCUGCGGCUUAACCGCAGGGCUGCCUUCUAAACUGUCAGGCUCGAGCACGGUAGAGGCAGAUGGAAUUCCCGGUGUAGCGGUGGAAUGCGUAGAGAUCGGGAAGAACAUCAGUGGCGAAGGCGGUCUGCUGGGCCGACACUGACGCUGAGGCGCGAAAGCGUAGGGGAGCGAACGGG
rnacentral:rRNA from 1 species